CGAGGCUUGACAUGGCACUGACAGCGGCGGAAACGUCGUCUUCUUCGGACAGUGUCACAGGUGCUGCAUGGCUGUCGUCAGCUCGUGUCGUGAGAUGUUGGGUUAAGUCCCGCAACGAGCGCAACCCUCGUGGUUAGUUGUAUUUUUCUAGCCAGACUGCCCGUACAAGCGGGAGGAAGGUGGGGAUGACGUCAAGUCAGCAUGGCCCUUACGUCUUGGGCUACACACACGCUACAAUGGCCGGUACAAAGGGCAGCCACUGCGCGAGCAGGAGCGAAUCCCAAAAGCUGGCCUCAGUUCAGAUUGCAGGCUGCAACUCGCCUGCAUGAAGUCGGAGUUGCUAGUAAACGCGCGUCAGCAUAGUGCGUUGAAUAUGUUCCCGGG
rnacentral:rRNA from 1 species